rnacentral:misc_RNA from 1 species
UGAGCCCUUUUGCAGGUUGGGUAGUUCCUAGGUAUAGAGGAGAUUAUGCCGGAUUUUCAGCAAACCUUAGGGUGUUUUUGAUCCUUUUUUAAGUUUGUAUUGAGUCAAUGAUAUUAAAUAAUUGUUAGGUGAGCCGGGACAGCCUUCCUACACCCAGCAGCCGCAGUGACCUCGAUUCAACUCUAUGAGUAAAAUAUUAAUUUAAUUAUAAUUUCAAUAUUAUU